AAUUGAACCUGCAAACUGAGCCUGUCUUGUGUUUUCUGCCUGAACGUAUAUCCAUGCAGUGAACUACCACAUGGCCCUCUGUAUCCCAGACAUCUGAGCGUGGUCAGCAAAGUGGCGGAAAACAAUCCUGCUAAGCCUCCAACGCCGCUUCACCCCCCGAGGGCGGGAUGUCAGGACACACCUAUUUCGGAUCCUCACAGGGCAGCUGUCCCGGGGCAAGGCAGCAAUCUCUCUAUCAGCCACUUCCUGCAGCUCCUUGGGCAGGAUGGUGUUCUUCCGGAUGGCGUUGAUCCGCAGCCGCUCGUCCGCGUACUCGUAGGCCAGCUUCCUCCUCUUGACGUCCCUCAGCAUCCUCCAGUCCACAUAGUAGCUCCGCGUUUGGCUUGGGCAUGGGAGAACCUGGCGAGCGGCCCUCAGAGCCCAGCACAGCGCGGACGCCGCCAUCUUGUCGGGGCGCGGGGCCGUACCGCGCCUGCGCAGCAGCUGCCUGUGCCUGUGCUCGGUGUUGCGCCUCGCCCUGCUUGAGAGCCCGCCCUCACUCGGGGUAGAGGCGGUGUGCGCCGCGGGGGCUGGGUGGUUGCUCUGUGCCUGCUGCUUUUACGUUUUUAACCCUGAAUUCCAUUAUUUUAAGUAUGUUUUCGGUUCAUGUGGGCUCACUAGAUUCAUCAAAAAACCGUGUGAGUGUCAGGACUCCUUCAUAGGAGCCCAGGCGUUAGGUGCUGGGUGCGUUGUGUGGGUCCUUUCAGUGCCAGCUGGAAGAAUCCUGGCAGACUAAAGCAGCCUGGUUUUAUGGCCCACAGCACAGUCAGCCGCAACAAGUUCCACCUGGCAUGAGCCUCAUUUCCCAUCUCUUUGUGCUCUUCUCAUAUUCAGCAUCGAUGAGUGUCUCUAUGAAGGGAGACUACUGCUCAACCUGCAAAGCCUGUGGGCUGCAAAGCUUCUGUGAGCAUCCAGUCUUCAGACCUUGGGGUGCUGGUGACUGCUUCUCAGUGAAGUGGUCUGUGGAUGCGUGACUGCCAUGGAACACUGCUGUUGUUUUCAAGGAGAAAAAAAAAUCCAGAUUAAUUCCCUGAUUAUAUUGUUUGUAAUUUCUUAUUUCUGCAUCUUUCCAGCUGAUAAAAUCAAUCAGUAGAAAACAGGCAUGGAAAAUUAAACAAGGAUCCAGAUGCAAUCAAUUAAAAGGCAUUUGAUGUAAUCAAGGGGAAUCUGUACAUUAGAAUACACUAUUAGUUGUUUAGUAUAUUUUUAUGUUUCCCUUUGUGCUUCUUAGGUGGUCCAGAUGAAUGAGGUGUAUGUGAAGCUUUGAGAUGUGGGCUGUUUUCGAUGGGAUCCCUUGUUGGGAUGGGUGUUGGUCACUGUCUA
rnacentral:lncRNA from 1 species